rnacentral:rRNA from 1 species
UACGUAGGGUCCGAGCGUUGUCCGGAAUUACUGGGCGUAAAGGGCCAGUAGGCGGCCAACUAAGUCGGAUGUGAAAUCCCCAGGCUUAACCUGGGAACUGCAUCCGAUACUGGAUGGCUUGAAUUCGGGAGAGGGAUGCAGAAUUCCAGGUGUAGCGGUGAAAUGCGUAGAUAUCUGGAGGAACACCGGUGGCGAAGGCGGCAUCCUGGACCGGUAUUGACGCUGAGGCGCGAAAGCCAGGGGAGCAAACGGG